rnacentral:rRNA from 1 species
UUUCCGGUGAUCCUGCCGGACCUGACUGCUAUCGGAUUGGUACUAAGCCAUGCGAGUCGUUGUAGCAAUACAAGGCGGACGGCUCAGUAACACGUAGUCAACCUAACCUAUGGACGUGGAUAACCUCGGGAAACUGAGAAUAAACCGCGAUAGAUCAUUAUGCCUGGAAUGGCUUAUGGUUCAAACAAUUUAUUGCCGUAGGAUGGGACUGCGGCCUAUCAGCUUGUUGGUGAGGUAAUGGCCCACCAAGGCUAUAACAGGUACGGGCUCUGAGAGGAGAAGCCCGGAGAUGGGUACUGAGACACGGACCCAGGCCCUAUGGGGCGCAGCAGGCGAGAAACCUUAGCAAUGUGCGAAAGCACGACUAGGUUAAUCCGAGUGAUUUCUGUUGAAGAAAUCUUUUGUCAGUCGUAAAACCACAGACGAAUAAGGGGUGGGCAAGUCUGGUGUCAGCCGCCGCGGUAAUACCAGCACCUCGAGUGGUCAGGAGGUUUAUUGGGCCUAAAGCAUCCGUAGCCGGCUACGCAAGUCUCCGGUUAAAUCCAGCUGCUCAACAGAUGGGCUGCCGGAGAUACUACAUAGCUAGGGAGCGGGAGAGGUAGACGGUAUUCUGUGGGUAGGGGUAAAAUCCACUGAUCCAUAGAGGACCACCAGUGGCGAAGGCGGUCUACCAGAACGCGUUCGACGGUGAGGGAUGAAAGCUGGGGGAGCAAACCGGAUUAGAUACCCGGGUAGUCCCAGCUGUAAACGAUGCAAACUCGGUGAUGUAUUGGCUUAUGGCCAAUGCAGUGCCGCAGGGAAGCCGUUAAGUUUGCCGCCUGGGAAGUACGGACGCAAGUCUGAAACUUAAAGGAAUUGGCGGGGGAGCA